rnacentral:snoRNA from 16 species
UAUCAGUGUUCUGGAACUGCAAUACAAGCUUAGCUCGAGAUGCGUGUACUGGUUUGCCUUUUUGCGAUCUGGUUCCUUUUCUCCUCGGGACAAUU